rnacentral:tmRNA from 1 species
GGGCUUCCUCCGGCCGGUGGCGCGCACUAUAUUCCGUGUGCCGUCGCAAGGCGGCUAUGGCGAUAAACGACCAUCGGAAUAAGCCUUUCGGACCCGGGGGCGGUACCCGGCGCCUCCACCAGAGCCCAGUUCCGGCCCGUUCGUGGCUGGUCUCGGGCGGGGGCGAAAUAGGAUCGACGAGGGUGUAAAGGUUGGUUUUUCGCCCGGCAUGGUUCCGCCGUUAUCGGGCCGAACAUAUAGUUGCCAACGACAACUAUGCUCCGGUUGCGGUGGCCGCGUAAGCGGUCUCUGACACCGAAACAAAGCCCUUGCGGGUAGCACCGUAAGGCGGGGUUCGGAGGUACCUGGCAACAGAAACCUCCACU